UACGGGGGGGGGCAAGCGUUGUUCGGAAUUACUGGGCGUAAAGGCGCGUAGGCGCCUUCUAAGUCGGACGUGGAAUCCCUCGGCUCAACCGAGGAACUGCGUCUGAUACUGGAAGGCUUGAAUCCGGGAGAGGGAUGUGGAAUUCCUGGUGUAGCGGUGAAAUGCGCAGAUAUCAGGAGGAACACCAAUUGCGAAGGCAGCUCGCUGGGACGUUACUGACGCUGAGACGCGAAAGCGUGGGGAGCAAACAGG
rnacentral:rRNA from 1 species